AAGGCGUCCCUGUGGGGUUAUAUUCACAGUGGCAUGCUUUACUACAGCUUGCAGAUUUUUAUUUAAUGCGGGCUUGACCUGGAGCUUGCGGUCAUGCAUAUCAGCUGGUCAAAACUAUGAUUUGAGGGUGGAUCAAGCUUUUUCUGGUUUGAACCUUAUGCUGAUAAGAUCAGAAGCUUUAUUACCAUGAACUGCACACACUGGAUAAAUUUGAAGCCGAUCAGUCGAAGGAAAUUUCAUGAAGAAAAGUAGAUGCGAGCAGCUCAACGAGAUUAAUAUCCUUUCCAGUCAAGAAGAACAGAAAAUAUAGCUUUUUCCUGGUACUAAAGUUGUCAAGGAUAUAUGUAUCUUGCAUGGUGGCUCCGCUCUUUAUGCAUCAUUGGGCACAAGGCUAUCACUUAGGUUUUUUGUGAAUUUAUGAAAAAAUUGUGGUUCCUUUUAUGUUUUGUUGUUGCCUUCGAGCUUGUUUGUCCUUAUUUCUUUUCAACACUUCUCAUUGU